UGUGUUUGUGUGUGUGUGUGUGUGUGUGUGUUACAGACAGUUUCUUUAAAGUCAGUGUGAACAUGACCAUCACAGGACCACAGCAGGAUCCAGAAGACACCCUUCAGCGCUGGCUUCAUGAAACUCUCUCUACUAAAGGAAUGUCUGUGCUGAACUUCAGAUUAACGUCACCACAGUCAGUGGGUCGAAGUUUGGAGAAUUCCAGUGCGGUACGAGUUUAAUUCACCUUCACUUCACUCCUCUAUCAAAUCUGCUGUGGGAUUAGUCUUUACUCUC